GAGGAAAAGAAACCAACAGGGAUUGCCUUAGUAACGGCGAGUGAAGCGGCAAAAGCUCAAUUUGAAAACGCUUCGGCGUGUUGUAAGUAAAGUGGUUAGACGCUUUUUAAUAAGUCCCUUGGAACAGGGCGCCAUAGAGGGUGAUAGCCCCGUAUUAAAUUGUCUAGUGUGCUACUUUAGAGCGAGUCGAGUUGUUUGGGAAUGCAGCUCAAAUAGGUGGUAAACUCCAUCUAAAGCUAAAUAUUGCUGGGAGACCGAUAGCGAACAAGUACAGUGAUGGAAAGAUGAAAAGCACUUUGAAAAGAGAGUGAAAUAGCGUGUGAAAUUGUUGGAGGGGAAGGCGAUGGUAGGAAUAAGAGGCUGCGGUUUGAAAUAAUUAUUUUUCGGGCCACGGUCUCCUGAGCCUGCUUUCGCACCCGU
rnacentral:rRNA from 1 species